UCGUACCAAUAGACAAAAUCUUUCAGACAAAAUAUCUCCACUCCAACUCCGCCGUCGCUUCCAACUCCGCCGUCUGCGUUUGUACCAAUUCUAAGGUCGAUUUGAUUUCGUUGUUUUGAUUUCGUUCCUUCCUUGUUGAAUUUAUGAAGAUUUGCUUAAGAAAAUUGAUGAUAUUGGUUAAUUCUUGUUUGUUCUAGUUUCUGUUGCAAGCCUCACAGAACGAGAAUAAGAACUUUUGAUUUUGAAAGCGGUGAAGAGUAACUCAACAGGAUCAUCGAAGCUUUGGAAGUUACGUGAUCCAAAAUUAAGAAGUAACAGUGACGGAAAAGGUUCGUGUUUUUGAAUCUAACUCUCGAUACUCACUCAUCAUCACCGUCGCCAACAACAACGUCGCCGGAAUCAUCCUCAAAAUGGUAAAACCAAAAGAGGGCAUGAAGCGUCCAUUCAAGCCGAUGAAAGACCUCAACAUGGACAAGGUCAUCUCUGAUAUCAUUACCGAUUUAUCAAAUUCUAGCUGAUUCUGGUUGUUUUACAACUCCGCUCUUGGCUUGACUUGUGUAGUUGAGUUAGAUAAAUUGAUUUAAUGAUUGUUGGAGAUAAUAUGCAAGGUGCUGUGUUUGGAGAGCUGCUAGAUUGCCUCUUGAAACCUACAAACAUCAAAGAGAAAAUAUCAAGCUUGAUGCUACUUGCAUCUCUUGGAAGCGAAUGCGAGGAAACUAUGUUAAAACAAUUGAUGUUGUUGGAGUUUGGCAAGAGAACAAUGUUGUUGAAACUGAAAAGACCAUUGAAGCUCUUAAAAGAGUUGCAUAGUAAAUUUAGAAAAGUUCUCAGAAUUGAUGUUAUUCUUGUUGUAUAAAUUGUUGUAGACCUUUGGAUGUAUUUAUAUAUUUUAAGUUAUUUUAUGUGUCA